CCCUUAGACGUUCUGGGCCGCACGCGCGCUACACUGACCAGUGCAACAAGCAUCCGUCCUUGGCCGACAGGCUCGGGCAAUCUUUGAACGCUGGUCGUGAUGGGGAUAGACUUUUGCAAUUUUUGGUCUUCAACGAGGAAUUCCUAGUAAACGCAAGUCAUCAACUUGCAUUGAUUACGCCCCUGCCCUUUGUACACACCGCCCGUCGCACCUACCGAUUGAAUGGUCCGGUGAAGCCUCCGGAUUGGCGCGCACCUCGGUGCCGCCGAGAAGUUGGCUAAACCUUACCAUUUAGAGGAAGGUGAAGUCGUAACA
rnacentral:rRNA from 1 species